rnacentral:rRNA from 1 species
UACGGAGGGUGCAAACGUUGCUCGGAAUCAUUGGGCGUAAAGCGCACGUAGGCGGACUGUUAAGUCGGAUGUGGAAGCCCUCGGCUUAACCGAGGAACUGCGUCUGAUACUGGAUGGCUUGAAUCCGGGAGAGGGAUGCGGAAUUCCAGGUGUAGCGGUGAAAUGCGUAGAUAUCUGGAGGAACACCUAUAGCGAAGGCAGCUUGCUGGGACGUAACUGACGCUAAGGCGCGAAAGCGUGGGGAGCGAACAGG